AUCCUCUGAUCUGAAAGAGUCCAGAUGAUGUAAAGGAAGGAGUACAAAUCAGCCAUUCAGUACUUUUUGUGCGAGCUAGCACUCUCGAGGAAGGACGUUUGGAUCAGAGCUUCGAGUGGAUAUCCUAUAGAGGUUGGAUGUGCUGUGCAGCUCCUCAACAUCAGGAAAAAUCUAUUGCCAUAUCCAUCAGUAGCAAUGAUCAUCAACCUAUGCUCUAGUAAAGAAUCUAAUCUCA
rnacentral:lncRNA from 1 species